rnacentral:rRNA from 1 species
UACGUAGGGUGCAAGCGUUGUCCGGAAUUAUUGGGCGUAAAGAGCUCGUAGGCGGUCUGUCGCGUCUGCUGUGAAAACUCAGGGCUUAACCCUGAGCUUGCAGUGGGUACGGGCAGACUAGAGUGCGGUAGGGGAGACUGGAAUUCCUGGUGUAGCGGUGAAAUGCGCAGAUAUCAGGAGGAACACCGGUGGCGAAGGCGGGUCUCUGGGCCGGUACUGACGCUGAGGCGCGAAAGCGUGGGGAGCAAACGGG